GGCUCGGACCAGAAAAGCCUGAUCUAGUGGUUUCCAUCUUAGCUCUCCAAGGAAUGUUGUGGCAGCAUGUUGGGUAUCUUUUUAUCCGGCUUCUCUGGUUGGUUCAACUGCUUUCAGGGCUUGGAAGAGAAAAAGAAAUAUAAUGAAUAUAAUGACCGUGUCCAUCAGAACCCAGCACUACCCUCAACCAUGAAGAGAGGAGUGGAGAAUCUCAUGCUCUAACUUCCUGUAAAGACCAGCAGGACGUAAAAGGCAGGAAGUGACGUAAGAAAGAACGUGACCCCUCCCCCCCCCAGCAGAAGACCGGAAGGACACAGGAAAGCUGGGUCUUAAGGGUUUUCUCCUGAGACUCUGUUUACUGGUUGAUGUCAUUCCUGUGUUCCAUAACAGCUUCAUCCUCUGAUUCCUUCUGUGUUCUAUCACAUUUGCCACAUCAUUAGGGAGCCUGUGGUCCAGAUCUGGAACAGGUGGAACAGGUGAUGGUGGUGGAGAAGUGAUCAGCCCUGAUGGAACAUCCUAGUCAGAAUACAGCCCCAGGAGAACUGACUGCAGCCUGCUCUGCUAAUGAAUUCUAACAGUAUAUUCUGAACCAAACUACCACCUAAUUCAGGUUCAUGUAAUCGACUCUCUAACGAAAAUAUUCUGUGGAGCAUCUGAAUCUCUGUCACUCACACUCCACCCAGUAUAAAGUUCUCUCUUAAUUCCUUCUGCCAUGAAGCUGUUUCUUCCUGCUUCGACCUCCAUCUUCAAAGGAGCUUUGGAUUUAGAACAUCUCCAUGUCUGCAGCACAGACCACUGAGAUUAUAUUUGCAUCAUAAAUAUAUUUGCACCAAACAGACCACAAUUAAUAUGCUGAAAGUAACAAGCAAGGCUAAUCCAGGAGGGAAAGAAAAUCCUACAAAACAAGUAUCUUUCCACACUCUGCUUAAAUAAAUGUGGACAACUGACUUCUCUUUAUUUUCCUCUCACCAACUGUUGCAAGGAUUAGCAUAUGGACCCAACUGGAGGAGUUCAUUAUUCAACCUGACAGUAUACAAAGAAUAAAGGCAGAAGUCCGGGAUCCCUGGAAAGAGAGAGGAAGAACUGUAGGAGCCGGAGAGAUCAAGAAAACACACAGAAUCAACUAGCCUGGGUUCAUAGAGGUUCCUGAGCCUGAACUGACAAUCAGAAAAACUGUAUGGUAUAAAAAGACACAUCUUCACUCACAGCACCUGGGAGAGGAGGCUGGAAGAUCACGAGUUCAAGGUCAUCCACAGCUAUACAAGUUCCAAAUGAUUUGUAUUAAUGCACAACAAAGCAAGAGAAACAAUCCAGCCCGGAGCCCGCCUGGAAACUAGGAACUGGCCUUGGAAACGUAGGGAGGUGAGGGGGACUCUCACAUUAACACAUCAAAACUAAUUUGAAGAGGAUUUAAUUGAUCUGUGGGCUGUCAAAGGAAGACUUCAGCUUGUAAAUUACAAGUGGUUGUCUGCUCAUUACCUCUCCCUUUGGAAAAAAAUAAAAAAAGAAUGGAGAGAAAUGA